UAUNGGUCAAUGGGCGCCAGCCUGAACCAGCNAAGUAGCGUGAAGGAUGACGGCCCUCUGGGUUGUAUACUUCUUUUAUAUGGGAAUAAAGUUUGGUAUGUAUACCAUUUCGUAUGUACCAUAUGAAUAAGGAUCUGCUCACUCCGUGCCAGCAGCCGCGGUAAUACGGAGGAUCCGAGCGUUAUCCGGAUUUAUUGGGUUUAAAGGGAGCGUAGGUGGACAGUUAAGUCAGUUGUGAAAGUUUGCGGCUCAACCGUAAAAUUGCAGUUGAUACUGGCUGUCUUGAGUACAGUAGAGGUGGGCGGAAUUCGUGGUGUAGCGGUGAAAUGCUUAGAUAUCACGAAGAACUCCGAUUGCGAAGGCAGCUCACUGGACUGCAACUGACACUGAUGCUCGAAAGUGUGGGUAUCAAACA
rnacentral:rRNA from 1 species